UGGAAGUGAUGAAGCAGAGAGGAUGGGGUGUGUGUGGAUGGGGUGUGUGAGGAGUGGGGUGGGGUUGGGUUUGGGGCAGUGUGUGACUGUGACAGGGGCUCUCUGGGGGCACUGAACCCUGUGCUGAGGCCGGAGUGCAUCUGAGGCGUGUUGGGCACCUCGGGGCCCCUCUGCAACACUGCCAGUGAUUAAAGCCCCAAAGCARCCCACCAGGAGAGCCCCAGGCACCCCAAAUCUCUACCAGGGUCACCAGUGAUCCUGGCAUCUGAUCUCA